CUUUAUUGGAGAGUUUGAUCCUGGCUCAGGACGAACGCUGGCGGCAUGCCUAAUACAUGCAAGUCGAGCGGACUUGAAGAGAAGCUUGCUUCUCGGAUAGUUAGCGGCGGACGGGUGAGUAACACGUAGGCAACCUGCCCUCAAGCUUGGGACAACUACCGGAAACGGUAGCUAAUACCGAAUACUUGUUUUCUUC
rnacentral:rRNA from 1 species